AGGAUGAACGCUGGCGGCGUGCCUAAUACAUGCAAGUCGAGCGGUAAGGCCACUUCGGUGGUACACGAGCGGCGGACGGCUGAGUAACACGUAGGAACGUACCCCAAACUGAGGGAUAAGCACCAGAAAUGGUGUCUAAUACCGCAUGUGCUCUUCGGAGUAAAGCUACGGCGGUUUGGGAACGGCCUGCGCAAGAUUAGCUUGUUGGUGAGGUAAUAGCUCACCAAGGCGACGAUCUUUAGCUGGUCUGAGAGGAUGACCAGCCAGACUGGAACUGAGAACGGUCCAGACUCCUACGGGAGGCAGCAGUAGGGAAUUUUCCACAAUGGACGAAAGUCUGAUGGAGCAACGCCGCGUGCAGGAUGAAGGCCCUCGGGUCGUAAACUGCUUUUAUAUGUGACGAUAAUGACGGUAGCAUAUAGAAUAAGGAUCGGCUAACGUCCGUGCCAGCAGCCGCGGUAA
rnacentral:rRNA from 1 species